ACUAUUUUGACAGAAAAAAUGUGAUGAUUUUAGAAGUCAUGAAUAUAUAAUUUAUAUUAUAUAAGUAGUA
rnacentral:tRNA from 1 species